UACGUAGGGGCGAGCGUUACCCGGAAUCACUGGUCGUAAAGGGCGCGCAGGCUGUUAUGCGAGUCUGCUGUGAAAUGUACCGGCUCAACCGGUGCCUUGCGGCGGAUACUGCAUAGCUGGAGUACUGGAGAGGGAAGUGGAAUUCCCGGUGUAGCGGUGAAAUGCGUAGAUAUUGGGAGGAACACCGGUGGCGUAGGCGGCUUGCUGGCCAGUUACUGACGCUCAUGCGCGAAAGCUGGGGUAGCGAACCGGAUUAGAUACCCCGGUA
rnacentral:rRNA from 1 species